rnacentral:rRNA from 1 species
AGUGAACGCUGGCGGUAGGCCUAACACAUGCAAGUCGAACGGAAGCACAGUAAGAGCUUGCUCUUAAGGGUGGCGAGUGGCGGAUGGGUGAGAAAUACAUAGGAAUCUACUUUUUCGUGGGGGAUAACGUAGGGAAACUUAUGCUAAUAGAGCAUAUGACGUACGGGUGAAAGCAGGGGAUAUUCGGAGUUUUUGUGUCUGUAUGAGCUGAUGCCGGAUUAGCUAGUUGGCGGGGUAAAGGCACACCAAGGCAACGAUCCGUAGCUGGUCUGAGAGGAUGAUCAGCCACACUGGAACUGAGACACGGUCCAGACUCCUACGGGAGGCAGCAGUGGGGAAUAUUGGGCAAUGGGCGCAAGCCUGAUCCAGCCAUACCGCGUGAGUGAAGAAGGCCUUCGGGUUGUAAAGCCCUUUUGUUAGGAAAGAAAAACAGCAGGUUAAUACCCCGCUGUUCUGACGGUACCCAAAGAAUAAGCACCGGCUAACUUCGUG